UACGAAGGGUGCAAACGUUGCUCGGAAUUAUUGGGCGUAAAGCGCACGUAGGCGGCUUUGCAAGUCGGAUGUGAAAGCCCUCGGCUUAACCGAGGAAGUGCAUCCGAAACUGCAGAACUUGAGUACUUAAGAGGAUCGCGGAAUUCCCGGUGUAGAGGUGAAAUUCGUAGAUAUCGGGAGGAACACCAGUGGCGAAGGCGGCGAUCUGGGAAGAUACUGACGCUGAGGUGCGAAAGCGUGGGGAGCAAACAGG
rnacentral:rRNA from 1 species